UUCACCAGCUUCUUCCCGGCAACACUAUACUACUUAUAUAAGAAAGUGACCUACAGAAGCAGGAUGGCCAUAUAUAAGAUGCAUCCUGGAGUAUUUAAGGGUGAAGUGCCAUGCUGCCUACUUGUGAGGUUUAUAGAGUGUGAAGACUGGGUUGGAUGGCCAAAGUGGAUUGAGCACAGACCAAGUAGACAAGUAUAGCUGGACUUCAGAGACCUCUGUUCUGUGAUAAACCCUGCCAUAGGUUGUGGACUGCCUCUGACUCUGGACUGAACCAUGUGAGCCAGUGCCACAGAAAGAUGUACCAUACACAAAGAAGAUAGAGAAAACAAUAAGGUCAGGGUCAAAAACCAAGAUUCACAAAAUUAGCAGAGGAUGUGAGAAGUGUAUUAUGGUGGAGGAAAUUAAUUCUAUUCCCAAAUACUAGAAAACUCAAAGUUAAAAAGGUAGGGGCGCUUGGGUGGCUCAGUCGUUAAGCGUCUG